rnacentral:rRNA from 1 species
UGCGUAGGCGGUUUACUAAGUCAGAUGUGAAAGCCCCGGGCUUAACCUGGGAACUGCAUUUGAUACUGGUAGGCUAGAGUAUGAUAGGGGGGGGUAGAAUUCCUGGUGUAGCGGUGAAAUGCGUAGAUAUCAGGAGGAAUACCAGUGGCGAAGGCGGCCCCCUGGAUCAAUACUGACGCUGAGGUACGAAAGCGUGGGUAGCGAACA